AGCAAGGAAAGGGAUGGAUUAAGGAUGCUUCGCAGGGGACGUGCUGAAUUUUCCAGCCGUCCUUCCUGUAGAUAGUACACUUCUGAACACACAAAGUCGAUUAGCAUUUGCCAGCACAGUGUUAUCUUUGGUCUUCUGGGACCAAAAAUCAGUCACUGCUGCUGUCAUUUCCUCUGCUGACUGCAAACACACUCUUUCACUCUGUCAUCACAUCCGCUAGCUACCUGCACAAAGUGUUUACCCACAUGGCAGCUGGUACAUUGUAUUACAAUCGGGAGUGAGUCCAGUUUGGCUCAUGGAAGUGGAGAAAGGGUUGUUAUCUACAGGAACAGGGACAGGAGAAUCAGGACUUUGAAGGCUGACAGGCCAGUGUUGCCAUUUGCAAGAGGGCAGAUGACAGGAGUCCAGAGAGAGAGGAAAUGAGUGAGAGAGACAGCGAGAAUCUGCUGAUAAAGAUUGAUGCUGAUGUAGGAGGCUGAGGUAAAAGAGAGGGCAGCAGGAGCCUUUAGACGGAAACGGCAACAAUUCACACAGCAGGCACACAGCUGGUCUGUUUUAUACGGGUGGGCACAGUGUGUACUUAGCAUAUGAUGUUAAUAUAUUGGUGUACAUCCAUUGUCUGCAUCUUUGCCAGUGUUAUUC